rnacentral:rRNA from 1 species
UACGGAGGGUGCAAGCGUUAUCCGGAUUCACUGGGUUUAAAGGGUGCGUAGGUGGGAAUGUAAGUCAGUGGUGAAAUCCUCUGAGCUUAACUCAGAAACUGCCAUUGAUACUAUGUUUCUUGAAUUUUCCGGAGGUCAGCGGAAUAUGUCAUGUAGCGGUGAAAUGCUUAGAUAUGACAUAGAACACCAAUUGCGAAGGCAGCUGGCUACAGGGAUAUUGACACUGAGGCACGAAAGCGUGGGGAUCAAACAGG